rnacentral:tRNA from 1 species
GGAGAUUUAGCUCAGUGGUAGAGCGCUUGCCUAGCAAACGCAAGGGCCUGGGUUCAGUCCCCAGCUCCG